rnacentral:rRNA from 1 species
GAUGAACGCUGGCGGCGUGCUUAACACAUGCAAGUCGAACGAAGCACUUUAUUUGAUUUCCUUCGGGACUGAUUAUUUUGUGACUGAGUGGCGGACGGGUGAGUAACGCGUGGGUAACCUGCCUUGUACAGGGGGAUAACAGUUGGAAACGGCUGCUAAUACCGCAUAAGCGCACAGCAUCGCAUGAUGCAGUGUGAAAAACUCCGGUGGUAUAAGAUGGACCCGCGUUGGAUUAGCUAGUAGGUGAGGUAACGGCCCACCAAGGCGACGAUCCAUAGCCGACCUGAGAGGGUGACCGGCCACAUUGGGACUGAGACACGGCCCAAACUCCUACGGGAGGCAGCAGUGGGGAAUAUUGCACAAUGGGCGAAAGCCUGAUGCAGCGACGCCGCGUGAGCGAAGAAGUAUUUCGGUAUGUAAAGCUCUAUCAGCAGGGAAGAUAAUGACGGUACCUGACGAAGAAGCACCGGCUAAAUACGUG